GCGGCCUAUCAGCUGGAUGGUGGGGUAAUGGCCUACCAUGGCGACGACGGGUAGCUGGUCUGAGAGGAUGAUCAGCCGGACUGGGACUGAGAUACGGCCCAGACUCCUACGGGGGGCAGCAAUUAGGAAUCUUGCGCAAUGGGCGAAAGCCUGACGCAGCGACGUCGCGUGACCGAUGAAGUCUUUCGGGAUGUAAAGGUCUUUUGUCGAGGAAGAGUAAAAGACGGUACUCGAUGAAUAAGCCCCGGCUAACUACGUGCCAGCAGCCGCGGUAAUACGUAGGGGGCGAGCGUUAUCCGAAUUUACUGGGCGUAAAGCGCACGUAGGCGGUCUAUUAAGUUGGUGGUGAAAGUCCGAUGCUCAACAUCGGAAGUGCUUCCAAUACUGGUAGACUUGAGGUAUGAAUGGGGAAGUGGAAUUCCAGGUGUAGCGGUGAAAUGCGUAGAU
rnacentral:rRNA from 1 species